GACGAACGCUGGCGGAGUGAUUAACACAUGCAAGCCGAACGGUAAGGCCCUUCGGGGUACACGAGUGGCGAACGGGUGAGGAACACGAGGGUGAUCUGCCCUGCACAUCGGGAUAAGCCCUGGAAACUGGGUCCAAUACCGGAUAGGACCACUGCCUGCUGGGGGGGUGGUGGAAAGCUUUUGCGGUGUGGGAUGGGCCCGCGGCCUAUCAGGUUGGUGGUGGGGUGAUGGCGUUCCAAGGCGACGACGGGUAGCCGGCCCGAGAGGGUGACCGGCCACAAUGGGACUGAGAUACGGCCCAGACUCCUACGGGAGGCAGCAGUGGGGAAUAUUGCACAAUGGGCGCAAGCCUGAGGCAGCGACGCCGCGUGAGGGAUGACGGCCUUCGGGUUGUAAACCUCUUUCAGCACCGACGAAGCGCAAGUGACGGUAGGUGCAGAAGAAGGACCGGCCAACUACGUGCCAGCCGCCGCAGUAA
rnacentral:rRNA from 1 species